GCGCCAGACUCCUACGGGAGGCAGCAGUGAGGAAUAUUGGUCAAUGGCCGAGAGGCUGAACCAGCCAAGUCGCGUGAGGGAUGACGGCCCUACGGGUUGUAAACCUCUUUUGCCGGGGAGCAAAGAGAGUCACGUGUGGCUCAUUGAGAGUACCCGAAGAAAAAGCAUCGGCUAACUCCGUGCCAGCAGCCGCGGUAAUACGGAGGAUGCGAGCGUUAUCCGGAUUUAUUGGGUUUAAAGGGUGCGUAGGCGGGCAUUUAAGCCGGCGGUCAAAUGUCGGGGCUCAACCCCGGCCUGCCGUCGGAACUGGGUGCCUUGAGUGGGCGAGAAGUAUGCGGAAUGCGUGGUGUAGCGGUGAAAUGCAUAGAUAUCGCGCAGAACUCCGAUUGCGAAGGCAGCAUGCCGGCUCCACACUGACGCUGAGGCACGAAAGCGUGGGUAUCGAACAGGAUUAGAUACCCGAGUACU
rnacentral:rRNA from 1 species